rnacentral:lncRNA from 1 species
GUAUCUCAAAUACCUCCCGAUUCUUUCUUUCAGACAAAGUGGUAAAGAAGGGGAAGAAGGAUAAAAAGACCAAAAAGUCGUUCUUUGAGGAACUGGCUGUGGAGGAGAAACAUGCCAGUGAGGAGCAAGCAGUUGAGAAAGAGCAGCAGCAGCAACAACAACAACAACAGCUGCAGCAGCCCCAGCAAAAGAAGCGACGAGACAAGAAAAAAGACAGAAAGAAAAAAGAUGCGGAAGACGACGACGACGAGAACCAGCUGAUUGAGCGGCUGAAGAAGCUGUCGGCCCAAGCCAGCGAUGAGGAAGAGGAAGGUUGGAGGCUGCGAUCUUAGGGGGGGGGGAAGAGAUUUUCUACAUUGGGGCUGAGGAACCUGCCCAACCCCCUAGACCAGUGACAGGGAACUGGUGCCCCCUACCCCUCCUGAUGUUGCUGAACGACAACUCCCAUCUGCCACAACCGCU